rnacentral:rRNA from 1 species
AUUGAACGCUGGCGGCAGGCUUAACACAUGCAAGUCGAGCGAGCGGCGGCAGGGUGAGUAAUGUCUGGGAAACUUCCUGAUGGAGGGGGAUCACUACUGGAAACGGUAGCUAAUACCGCAUACCAUCAGAUGUGCCCAGAUGGGAUUAGCGAGUGGGUGGGGUAACGGCCUACCUAGGCGACGAUCCCUAGCUGGUCUGAGAGGAUGACCAGCCACACUGGAACUGAGACACGGUCCAUACUCCUACGGGAGGCAGCAGUGGGGAAUAUUGGACAAUGGGCGCAAGCCUGAUGCAGCCAUGCCGCGUGUGUGAAGAAGGCCUUCGGGUUGUAAAGCACUUUCGGUAGGGAGGCGUUACCUACAGAAGAAGCACCGGCUAACUCCGUGCCAGCAGCCGCGGUAAUUC